rfam:Felis catus isolate Cinnamon breed Abyssinian chromosome B4, whole genome shotgun sequence.
GCCUGGGUGGCUCAGUCGGUUGAGCGUCUGACUUCAGCUCAGGUCACGAUCUCACGGUUCGUGAGUUCGAGCCCCGCGUCAGGCU